UACAGAGACUGCAAGCGUUACUCGGAUUCACUGGGCGUAAAGGGAGCGCAGGCGGACCGGUGUGUCAGAUGUGAAACCCCAGGGCUCAACCCUGGGACUGCGUCUGAAACUGCCGGUCUAGGGACUCGGAGGGGCUAGUGGAAUUCCUGGUGGAGCAGUGAAAUGCGUAGAUAUCGGGAAGAACACCCGUGGCGAAGGCGGCUCUCUGGGACGGUACUGACGCUGAGACGCGAAAGCGUGGGGAGCGAACAGG
rnacentral:rRNA from 1 species